rnacentral:rRNA from 1 species
UACGUAGGUGGCAAGCGUUGUCCGGAUUUACUGGGCGUAAAGAGCGCGCAGGCGGUCGUUCAAGUCGCGUGUGAAAGCCCCCGGCUCAACUGGGGAGGGUCACGCGAUACUGAUCGACUCGAAGGCAGGAGAGGGUAGUGGAAUUCCCAAUGUAGCGGUGAAAUGCGUAGAUAUUGGGAGGAACACCAGUGGCGAAGGCGGCUACCUGGACCGGUUCUGACGCUGAGGCGCGAAAGCGUGGGUAGCAAACAGG